rnacentral:rRNA from 1 species
UAAGUGACUAAGCGUACACGGUGGAUGCCUUGGCAGUCAGAGGCGAUGAAAGACGUAGUAACUUGCGAUAAGCCCAGAUUAGGUAGUAACAACCAUUUGAGUCUGGGAUUUCUGAAUGGGGAAACCCACGUGCAUAAGCACGUAUCCUUACCUGAAUACAUAGGGUAAGGAGGCGAACCGGGGGAACUGAAACAUCUAAGUACCCCGAGGAAAAGAAAUCAACCGAGAUUCCGAAAGUAGCGGCGAGCGAAAUUGGACUAGCCCUUAAGCUUUACACGCGUUAGACGAACGGUCUGGAAAGUCCGACGAUACAGGGUGAUAGUCCCGUAGUUGACGACGUGUGUUCAGUGAAAUCGAGUAGGGCGGGACACGUGAUAUCCUGUCUGAAUAUGGGGGGACCAUCCUCCAAGGCUAAAUACUACUGACUGACCGAUAGUGAACCAGUACCGUGAGGGAAAGGCGAAAAGAACCCCUGUGAGGGGAGUGAAAUAGAACCUGAAACCGUGUACGUACAAGCAGUAGGAGCAGGCUUUGUCCUGUGACUGCGUACCUUUUGUAUAAUGGGUCAGCGACUUAUAUUCAGUGGCAAGGUUAACCAUCUAGGGGAGCCGUAGGGAAACCGAGUCUUAACUGGGCGUUCAGUCUCUGGAUAUAGACCCGAAACCAGGUGAUCUAGCCAUGGGCAGGUUGAAGGUUGAGUAACAUCAACUGGAGGACCGAACCGACUAAUGUUGAAAAAUUAGCGGAUGACUUGUGGCUAGGGGUGAAAGGCCAAUCAAACCUGGAGAUAGCUGGUUCUCCCCGAAAGCUAUUUAGGUAGCGCCUCGGACGAAUACUACUGGGGGUAGAGCACUGUUAAGGCUAGGGGGUCAUCCCGACUUACCAACCCUUUGCAAACUCCGAAUACCAGUAAGUACUAUCCGGGAGACACACGGCGGGUGCUAACGUCCGUCGUGGAGAGGGAAACAACCCAGACCGCCAGCUAAGGUCCCAAAUUACUACUAAGUGGGAAACGAUGUGGGAAGGCUCAGACAGCCAGGAUGUUGGCUUAGAAGCAGCCAUCAUUUAAAGAAAGCGUAAUAGCUCACUGGUCGAGUCGGCCUGCGCGGAAGAUGUAACGGGGCUAAGUAGUAAACCGAAGCUGCGGCAAUAUACUUUUGUAUAUUGGGUAGGGGAGCGUUCUGUAAGCGGUUGAAGGUGUGUGGUAACGCAUGCUGGACGUAUCAGAAGUGCGAAUGCUGACAUGAGUAACGAUAAAGGGGGUGAAAAACCCCCUCGCCGGAAGACCAAGGGUUCCUGUCCAACGUUAAUCGGGGCAGGGUAAGUCGACCCCUAAGGCGAGGCCGAAAGGCGUAGUCGAUGGGAAACGGGUUAAUAUUCCCGUACUUCUUACAAUUGCGAUGGGGGGACGGAGAAGGCUAGGUGGGCCUGGCGACGGUUGUCCAGGUUCAAGUGCGUAGGCUUAAGAGUUAGGUAAAUCCGGCUCUUUUUAAGGCUGAGACACGACGUCGAGCACCUACGGGUGUGAAGUCAUUGAUGCCAUGCUUCCAGGAAAAGCCUCUAAGCUUCAGAUUGUAAGGAAUCGUACCCCAAACCGACACAGGUGGUCGGGUAGAGAAUACCAAGGCGCUUGAGAGAACUCGGGUGAAGGAACUAGGCAAAAUGGUACCGUAACUUCGGGAGAAGGUACGCUCUCGACGGUGAAGUCCCUUGCGGAUGGAGCUAUUGAGAGUCGCAGAUACCAGGUGGCUGCAACUGUUUAUUAAAAACACAGCACUGUGCAAAAUCGUAAGAUGACGUAUACGGUGUGACGCCUGCCCGGUGCCGGAAGGUUAAUUGAUGGGGUUAGACUUCGGUCGAAGCUCUUGAUCGAAGCCCCGGUAAACGGCGGCCGUAACUAUAACGGUCCUAAGGUAGCGAAAUUCCUUGUCGGGUAAGUUCCGACCUGCACGAAUGGCGUAAUGAUGGCCACGCUGUCUCCACCCGAGACUCAGUGAAAUUGAAAUCGCUGUGAAGAUGCAGUGUACCCGCGGCUAGACGGAAAGACCCCGUGAACCUUUACUACAGCUUGGCACUGAACAUUGACCCUACAUGUGUAGGAUAGGUGGGAGGCUUUGAAGCACGUACGCCAGUAUGUGUGGAGCCGUCCUUGAAAUACCACCCUUGUAGUGUUGAUGUUCUAACGUCGACCCCUUAUCGGGGUUGCGGACAGUGCCUGGUGGGUAGUUUGACUGGGGCGGUCUCCUCCCAAAGAGUAACGGAGGAGCACGAAGGUGGGCUAAUCACGGUUGGACAUCGUGAGGUUAGUGCAAUGGCAUAAGCCCGCUUGACUGCGAGAAUGACAAUUCGAGCAGGUGCGAAAGCAGGUCAUAGUGAUCCGGUGGUUCUGAAUGGAAGGGCCAUCGCUCAACGGAUAAAAGGUACUCCGGGGAUAACAGGCUGAUACCGCCCAAGAGUUCAUAUCGACGGCGGUGUUUGGCACCUCGAUGUCGGCUCAUCACAUCCUGGGGCUGAAGUCGGUCCCAAGGGUAUGGCUGUUCGCCAUUUAAAGUGGUACGCGAGCUGGGUUUAGAACGUCGUGAGACAGUUCGGUCCCUAUCUGCCGUGGGCGUUGGAAGAUUGAAGGGGGCUGCUCCUAGUACGAGAGGACCGGAGUGGACGAACCUCUGGUGUUCGGGUUGUGUCGCCAGACGCAUUGCCCGGUAGCUAAGUUCGGAAUCGAUAACCGCUGAAAGCAUCUAAGCGGGAAGCGAGCCCUGAGAUGAGUCUUCCCUGAUACUUUAAGUAUCCUAAAGGGUUGUCGGAGACUACGACGUUGAUAGGUCAGGUGUGUAAGUGCUGUGAGGCAUUGAGCUAACUGAUACUAAUUGCCCGUGAGGCUUAACCA